rnacentral:rRNA from 1 species
UACAGAGGUGGCAAGCGUUGUUCGGAAUUACUGGGCGUAAAGGGCGCGUAGGCGGUUCGUUAAGUCUUGUGUGAAAUCCCCCGGCUCAACUGGGGAACUGCACAGGAAACUAGCGGGCUUGAGUUCGGGAGAGGGAAGCGGAAUUCCGGGUGUAGCGGUGAAAUGCGUAGAUAUCCAUAGGAACUCCGGUGGCGAAAGCGGUGUGCUGGAUCCUUUCUGACGCUGAGGCGCGAAGGCCAGGGGAGCAAACGGG